UCAACUCGCAAAUGUCUAGACUUUUUUUAAAGUCUUAACAUUUUGGAGUUGGAUUGCAACUAAUCAAAUCCAUCGAUAGACUGGCCACACUGUUUUAGGAGGCAUUCGUUUUUGUUUCGUGAACCAUAAAUACAUUUUGAAUGGCUUUAAAAAUAAAAAUUCAAAAGUUAUCUACAAAAAUUAAAAACUGUGCUCCUGUUUAAACUUGUUUGACAAUAAUGCAUUUACGGACGUUUCGGAGUUGACGUAGAAGAUUGUGCCGAAUCAUCAUCAUUAAUGGAGGAUUUACUCUUUUUCAUACUUAGCUGGGACGUCGAUAUAUCAUCUGGUAAAUCUUCCUUAAAUCGCGUCCAUUUUAUGAGUGUUUCUGGAGAUCGGUACAAAAAUAACAAUUUUCCAUACAAAUCUUCUUCAAGCCGAUACUCCUGUGUUUCUCGAACUAGGUAUAUAUCGUUACACAGCUUAAGUACUCGGUCAACGUACGGUAAAUCUUCAAACAUUAUUCGUCUGUGAUUGUUGGCGAUUAGAGAGCGUAUAACUCUGGAAACUACAUACACAAAUGUUGUAUAGAGUCCAAUAAUCCUAAAAAAUUUUUCAUAAACCGUAAUAACCUUCAAAUUGGCAUUGUUUUUGUAAUUUAAAGCGUAAUAUUAUUUAGCUCUUAAAAAUUGUAAAGGACAUUAAACGGAUACAUUAACAUGUGCAUCGGUAUAAAGAUUCGAUCAUGUAAAUUAUAUCUUAUGAAAGAGUAUGCAUAGUUUAUGGGGUCUGGAUUCAAUUAAAUAUACUCUUGUAACCUAUGAGUACUGAGUACAAUUAGUUUUGAGUCUCAGAAUUGGCAGUUACAUAGUUUAACUAACUCAUACCAUUGUAAUCCUUGAUAAAUUUUAUUUUC